CCUACGGGCGGCAGCAGUGAGGAAUAUUGGUCAAUGGACGAGAGUCUGAACCAGCCAAGUAGCGUGAAGGAUGACUGCCCUAUGGGUUGUAAACUUCUUUUAUAUGGGAAUAAAACGUUCCACGUGUGGGAUUUUGUAUGUACCAUAUGAAUAAGGAUCGGCUAACUCCGUGCCAGCAGCCGCGGUAAUACGGAGGAUCCGAGCGUUAUCCGGAUUUAUUGGGUUUAAAGGGAGCGUAGGUGGAUUGUUAAGUCAGUUGUGAAAGUUUGCGGCUCAACCGUAAAAUUGCAGUUGAAACUGGCAGUCUUGAGUACAGUAGAGGUGGGCGGAAUUCGUGGUGUAGCGGUGAAAUGCUUAGAUAGCACGAAGAACUCCGAUUGCGAAGGCAGUUCACUGGACUGCAACUGACACUGAGGCUCGAAAGUGUGGGUAUCAAACAGGAUUAGAUAUCCCAGUAGUC
rnacentral:rRNA from 1 species